rnacentral:rRNA from 1 species
CCUACGGGAGGCAGCAGUGAGGAAUAUUGGUCAAUGGGCGCGAGCCUGAACCAGCCAAGUAGCGUGAAGGAUGACUGCCCUACGGGUUGUAAACUUCUUUUAUAAAGGAAUAAAGUGAGGCACGUGUGCCUUUUUGUAUGUACUUUAUGAAUAAGGAUCGUCUAACUCCGUGCCAGCAGCCGCGGUAAUACGGAGGAUCCGAGCUUUAUCCGGAUUUAUUGUGUUUACAGGGAGCGUAGAUGGGUUGUUAAGUCAGUUGUGAAAGUUUGCGGCUCAAACGUAAAAUUGCAAGUGAUACUGGCAGUCUUGAGUACAGUUGAGGUAGGCGGAAUUCGUGGUGUAGCGGUGAAAUGCUGAGAUAUCACGAAGAACUCCGAUUGCGAAGGCAGCUUACUAAACUGCCACUGACAUUGAUGCUCGAAAGUGUGGGUAUCAAACAGGAUUAGAUACCCUAGUAGUC